rnacentral:rRNA from 1 species
AACGAACGCUGGCGGCAUGCCUAACACAUGCAAGUCGAACGAGACCUUCGGGCCUAGUGGCGCACGGGUGCGUAACGCGUGGGAACCUGCCCUUAGGUUCGGAAUAACGCCCCGAAAGGGGUGCUAAUACCGGAUAAUGUCUUCGGACCAAAGAUUUAUCGCCUUUGGAUGGGCCCGCGUUGGAUUAGCUAGUUGGUAGGGUAAAAGCCUACCAAGGCGACGAUACAUAGAUGGUCUGAGAGGAUGAUCAGCCACACUGGGACUGAGACACGGCCCAGACUCCUACGGGAGGCAGGAGUGGGGAAUAUUGGAAAAUGGGCGAAAGCAUGAUCCAGCAAUGCCGCGUGAGUGAUGAAGGCCUUAGGGUUGUAAAGCUCUUUUACACGGGAUGAUAAUGACAGUACCGGGAGAAUAAGCUCCGGCUAACUCCGUG